AAAUUGAAGAGUUUGAUCAUGGCUCAGAUUGAACGCUGGCGGCAGGCCUAACACAUGCAAGUCGAACGGUAACAGGAAACAGCUUGCUGUUUCGCUGACGAGUGGCGGACGGGUGAGUAAUGUCUGGGAAACUGCCUGAUGGAGGGGGAUAACUACUGGAAACGGUAGCUAAUACCGCAUAACGUCGCAAGACCAAAGAGGGGGACCUUCGGGCCUCUUGCCAUCGGAUGUGCCCAGAUGGGAUUAGCUAGUAGGUGGGGUAACGGCUCACCUAGGCGACGAUCCCUAGCUGGUCUGAGAGGAUGACCAGCCACACUGGAACUGAGACACGGUCCAGACUCCUACGGGAGGCAGCAGUGGGGAAUAUUGCACAAUGGGCGCAAGCCUGAUGCAGCCAUGCCGCGUGUAUGAAGAAGGCCUUCGGGUUGUAAAGUACUUUCAGCGGGGAGGAAGGGAGUAAAGUUAAUACCUUUGCUCAUUGACGUUACCCGCAGAAGAAGCACCGGCUAACUCCGUGCCAGCAGCCGCGGUAAUACGGAGGGUGCAAGCGUUAAUCGGAAUUACUGGGCGUAAAGCGCACGCAGGCGGUUUGUUAAGUCAGAUGUGAAAUCCCCGGGCUCAACCUGGGAACUGCAUCUGAUACUGGCAAGC
rnacentral:rRNA from 1 species